ACAGUUUGCUUGUUCUCAGCAUCGGAGCAUCUGAAGUUGGAGCCGGUCCGACAGCGCACUGCCCUCCAGACAAUCUGAAUGCCA